ACGCUCGACACCUACGGGAGGCAGCAGGUGGGGAAUAUUGCACAAUGGGGGAAACCCUGAUGCAGCGACGCCGCGUGAAGGAAGAAGUAUUUCGGUAUGUAAACUUCUAUCAGCAGGGAAGAAGAAAGUGACGGUACCUGACUAAGAAGCCCCGGCUAACUACGUGCCAACAGCCGCGGUAAUCUGAGCGGGCUGGCAAGGC
rnacentral:rRNA from 1 species